rnacentral:rRNA from 1 species
AGACCCGAAACCCGGUGAUCUAGCCAUGGGCAGGUUGAAGGUUGGGUAACACUAACUGGAGGACCGAACCGACUAAUGUUGAAAAAUUAGCGGAUGACCUGUGGCUGGGGGUGAAAGGCCAAUCAAACCGGGAGAUAGCUGGUUCUCCCCGAAAGCUAUUUAGGUAGCGCCUCGUGAAUUCAUCUCCGGGGGUAGAGCACUGUUUCGGCUAGGGGGCCAUCCCGGCUUACCAACCCGAUGCAAACUGCGAAUACCGGAGAAUGUUAUCACGGGAGACACACGGCGGGUGCUAACGUCCGUCGUGAAGAGGGAAACAACCCAGACCGCCAGCUAAGGUCCCAAAGUCAUGGUUAAGUGGGAAACGAUGUGGGAAGGCCCAGACAGCCAGGAUGUUGGCUUAGAAGCAGCCAUCAUUUAAAGAAAGCGUAAUAGCUCACUGGUCGAGUCGGCCCGCGCGGAAGAUGUAACGGGGCUAAACCAUGCACCGAAGCUGCGGCAGCGACGCUGAUGCGUUGUUGGGUAGGGGAGCGUUCUGUAAGCCUG